UUGUACAUACUAUUAUAUUUUGUUGUACUCUCAGGAGCGAGGUUGUGUUGUGAAUAUUGUAUGUACAGUGGGUUUGGUAUGUUUUUAUUUAUAUGUUUCAGUUUUAGCAGCUCUAUACUUCUGAUUGUAGCUAUAAUUUGUUUACAGGUACAACUAGCGGUUCGUAUAAACGAAAAAUUUCUAUAUAUACGGUGGGUUUGUUGGCGUGCCUGGGGAAACGUGAUAAUCUGGGGCAUGACAUUGUAGCAUUUAUAAUUAUUUGUAAGUUGUGAAAAUAAUUUUCUACCCCUUGUGGUAUAUCCCUUAUGGUAGUGUGUUUAAAGAAAAGGUUUCCGAGUGGGAAACAAUUUUAAAAGGUUUUCUUGCGAAAAUGUAAAUAUACGCUGUGUUGUGAAUGGCUGUGGUUGUACUUGUACUCGUGCGACGCCGUGCAAAUAUAGGGAAUGCUUUGUUCAUGUGAUCAGUGAGUUUCCUGUAUUUGUGGCUGGUCUGUCAUCUCUUGGGUCAAGAUUUUCAAAAGAAAAAAAAAGGUUUGGGCAUUUUUUCGCUGGCUGACAACUAAA
rnacentral:lncRNA from 1 species